rnacentral:rRNA from 1 species
GAUGAACGCUGGCGGCGUGCCUAAUACAUGCAAGUCGAGCGAACAGACGAGGAGCUUGCUCCUCUGACGUUAGCGGCGGACGGGUGAGUAACACGUGGAUAACCUACCUAUAAGACUGGGAUAACUUCGGGAAACCGGAGCUAAUACCGGAUAAUAUAUUGAACCGCAUGGUUCAAUAGUGAAAGACGGUUUUGCUGUCACUUAUAGAUGGAUCCCCGCCGCAUUAGCUAGUUGGUAAGGUAACGGCUUACCAAGGCAACGAUGCGUAGCCGACCUGGGAGGGUGAUCGGCAACACUGGACCUGAGACACGGUCCAGACUCCUCCGGGAGGCAGCAGUAGGGAAUCUUCCGCAAUGGGCGAAAGCUUGACGGAGCAACGCGGCGUGAGUGAUGAAGGUCUUCGGAUCGUAAAACUCUGUUAUUAGGGAAGAACAAAUGUGUAAGUAACUAUGCACGUCGUGACGGUACCUAAUCAGAAAGCCACGGCUAACUACGUG